CGGUAUUAUGACCGUGCGAAGGUAGCAUAAUCAUUAGUCUUUUAAUUGAAGGCUGGAAUGAAGGGUUGGACGAGAAACAAGCUGUCUUUAUCUUAAAAAUUGAAUUUAACUUUUAAGUGAGAAGGCUUAAAUGGAUUAAAGGGACGAUAAGACCCUAUAAAGUUUAUAUACAGAACUAAUUAAAGAUAAUUAGGAAGAAUAAAGUUUAUUAUUAGGUAGGUAUUUAGUUGGGGCGACUGGGAUAUAAAUUAAUUUAACUGUUUUUAAUUAAGGUCAAAGAUAUUUGAGUUCGUGAUCCUUUUUUAGGAUUAAAGAAUAAGUUACUUUAGGGAUAACAGCGUAAUUUUUUUUGAGAGUUCUUAUCGACAAAAGAGUUUGCGACCUCGAUGUUGAAUUAAAAAUUUCUUUGUAGUGCAGCAAUUACAAGAGAAGG
rnacentral:rRNA from 1 species